AUGUUAAUAAAGUACAACAAGAAAGCUUUUGAAAAUUAUUGCUUGUAUGCUAUUGCAGCGCAAAGGGAGGGUUUGCAGGAGGUACUAGAAGAUAUUGCAAAAAAUACAGACAAUGAAUACUCUGGUGAGCAGGCUAGACGCAAAGAAAAAGAGAAAAUGGAUGAAGAAAGUGAUUCAUCUGGUAGCGACAGUGAUGGCGACUUCAUACACCCACACGAACGAGCUGCUAGAAGACUACAACGGGCUAAAAACAGAGGUGAACCAAUUCAGACGAACCCCCCGGUAGCAUUCGUAUAUCAGGUGCUCUGGAGAAUGUACCGAUCCCAGGUUGGUAUGAGCAUAAAUAAAUCUUUGAACUGUCCGAAAAACUAA
rnacentral:rRNA from 1 species